AGCUUGCUUCUAUGACGUUAGCGGCGGACGGGUGAGUAACACGUGGGCAACCUGCCUGUAAGACUGGGAUAACUUCGGGAAACCGAAGCUAAUACCGGAUAGGAUCUUCUCCUUCAUGGGAGAUGAUUGAAAGAUGGUUUCGGCUAUCACUUACAGAUGGGCCCGCGGUGCAUUAGCUAGUUGGUGAGGUAACGGCUCACCAAGGCAACGAUGCAUAGCCGACCUGAGAGGGUGAUCGGCCACACUGGGACUGAGACACGGCCCAGACUCCUACGGGAGGCAGCAGUAGGGAAUCUUCCGCAAUGGACGAAAGUCUGACGGAGCAACGCCGCGUGAGUGAUGAAGGCUUUCGGGUCGUAAAACUCUGUUGUUAGGGAAGAACAAGUACAAGAGUAACUGCUUGUACCUUGACGGUACCUAACCAGAAAGCCACGGCUAACUACGUGCCAGCAGCCGCGGUAAUACGUAGGUGGCAAGCGUUAUCCGGAAUUAUUGGGCGUAAAGCGCGCGCAGGCGGUUUCUUAAGUCUGAUGUGAAAGCCCACGGCUCAACCGUGGAGGGUCAUUGGAAACUGGGGAACUUGAGUGCAGAAGAGAAAAGCGGAAUUCCACGUGUAGCGG
rnacentral:rRNA from 2 species